rnacentral:piRNA from 1 species
CUGGAGUUGGAGUAUGGGCAAGU